rnacentral:rRNA from 1 species
UUUAGUAAUUGCGAAUGAACAAGGAUAUGCUUAGCUUGACAAAUGGAGCUAUUGGCUUUGAAUUGUAUUGUGGAAAUGUAUUACCAACAGAGGUGCAGGUGCCAGCCUAUUGAAAUAAAGCGUCAAUGAGGGUGAGAAUCCUGUUUGUCAUGUGCAGCCCUUUGUGCACGGUGUAUAUUUGCUGAGUCACACUCCUUGGCAUUGGAAUGCAAAGUGGGUGGUAAGUUUCAUGUAAAGGUAAACAUGCAAUUGAGACUGAUAGCACACAAGUACCAUGAGGGAAAUAUGAAAAGGACUUUGAAAAGAGAAUUAAAUGAGUUUGUAUUUGCUGAACACAAAGUAAACAGACUUGAUUUGCUUGGUGGGAGUGUUGCACUUGCUUGACAAGAGCUUUGGGCUGUGGGUGUAAUGAUUCUUUCUUUGCAUGCCAGUUUCUAUUUGUACAUCUGAUUACCUUUGCACAUGAAUGAUAAGUCUCCUGUGGGGGGUGGAUUGCAUGUGCAUGUAAUGAUUUGUGUUUUGAUAAAUGUGUCUGGUGUAUGUGUGUGUUCCUGUGCUUGGGGAUGCUUCCUUCCUUGGACUUACAAGCCCUGACACACACAUGCUGGCAAAAUGCUUCUGCUUGACCCGUCUUGAAACACGGACCAAGGAGUCUAACAGAUGUGCAAAGUUUGAAGGUGGUAUACCUUUGUGUGCAAUGAAAGUGUCAGCUGGGAUAUGUGCACCAGCACCCAAUUAAUUAGCGGACAGAGGUUUGAGUUGGAGCAUAUCUAUUAGGACCCGAAAGAUGGUGAACUAUGCCUGAACAGAAUGAAUUCAGAGGAAACUCUGAUGGAGGUUCGUAUCGAUACUGACGUGCAAAUCGUUCGUCAUAUUUGGGUAUAGGGGCGAAAGACUAAUCGAACCAUCUAGUAGCUGGUUCCCUCCGAAGUUUCCCUCAGGAUAGCUGGAGUUGCUCAGUUUUAUCAGGUAAAGCGAAUGAUUA